rnacentral:rRNA from 1 species
UACGUAGGGGGCAAGCGUUGUCCGGAAUCAUUGGGCGUAAAGAGCGUGUAGGCGGCCUGGUAAGUCCGCUGUGAAAGUCCAGGGCUCAACCCUGGAAUGCCGGUGGAAACUGUCAGGCUCGAGUCCGGAAGAGGCGAGUGGAAUUCCUGGUGUAGCGGUGAAAUGCGCAGAUAUCAGGAGGAACACCGGUGGCGAAGGCGGCCCCCUGGCUCGUACCUGACGCUCAGCCACGAAAGCAUGGGGAGCGAACGGG